rnacentral:rRNA from 1 species
GGGGAAUAUUGCACAAUGGGGGAAACCCUGAUGCAGCAACGCCGCGUGAAGGAUGAAGGCUUUCGGAUUGUAUACUUCAUUAGUCGGGGACGAAUAAAUGACGGUACCUGAAGAAUAAGCCACGGCUAACUACGUGCCAGCAGCCGCGGUAAUACGUAGGUGGCGAGCGUUGUCCGGAAUUACUGGGUGUAAAGGGCGUGUAGGCGGGAAUGUAAGUCAGAUGUGAAAGCCCACGGCUUAACCGUGGAGGGUCAUUGGAAACUGGGAGACUGCAGUGCAGAAGAGGAAAGUGGAAUUCCAAGUGUAGCGGUGAAAUGCGUAGAGAUUUGGAGGAACACCAGUGGCGAAGGCGACUUUCUGGUCUGCAACUGACGCUGAGGCGCGAAAGCAUGGAGAGCAAACA